rnacentral:rRNA from 1 species
GACGAACGCUGGCGGCGUGCUUAACACAUGCAAGUCGAACGGAAAGGCCCUGCUUUUGUGGGGUGCUCGAGUGGCGAACGGGUGAGUAACACGUGAGUAACCUGCCCUUGACUUUGGGAUAACUUCAGGAAACUGGGGCUAAUACCGGAUAGGAGCUCCUGCUGCAUGGUGGGGGUUGGAAAGUUUCGGCGGUUGGGGAUGGACUCGCGGCUUAUCAGCUUGUUGGUGGGGUAGUGGCUUACCAAGGCUUUGACGGGUAGCCGGCCUGAGAGGGUGACCGGCCACAUUGGGACUGGGAUACGGCCCAGACUCCUACGGGAGGCAGCAGUGGGGAAUAGUGCACAAUGGCGGAAGCCUGAUGCAGCAACGCCGCGUGCGGGAUGACGGCCUUCGGGUUGUAAACCGCUUUCGCCUGUGACGAAGCGUGAGUGACGGUAAUGGGUAAAGAAGCACCGGCUAACUACGUG